AUUGAGCGCUGGCGGCAGGCCUAACACAUGCAAGUCGAACGGUAACAGAAGGCAGCUUGCUGCUUUGCUGACGAGUGGCGGACGGGUGAGUAAUGUCUGGGAAACUGCCUGAUGGAGGGGGAUAACUACUGGAAACGGUAGCUAAUACCGCAUAACGUCGCAAGACCAAAGAGGGGGACCUUCGGGCCUCUUGCCAUCGGAUGUGCCCAGAUGGGAUUAGCUAGUAGGUGGGGUAACGGCUCACCUAGGCGGCGAUCCCUAGCUGGUCUGAGAGGAUGACCAGCCACACUUGAACUGAGACACGGUCCAGACUCCUACGGGAGGCAGCAGUGGGGAAUAUUGCACAAUGGGCGCAAGCCUGAUGCAGCCAUGCCGCGUGUAUGAAGAAGGCCUUCGGGUUGUAAAGUACUUUCAGCGGGGAGGAAGGGAUUAAAGUUGAUACCUUUGCUCAUUGACGUUACCCGCAGAAGAAGCACCGGCUAACUCCGUG
rnacentral:rRNA from 1 species